AUUGAACGCUGGCGGCAGGCCUAACACAUGCAAGUCGAGCGGCAGCACUUCGGGUGGCGAGCGGCGAACGGGUGAGUAAUACAUGGGAAUCUGCCCAGUAGUGGGGGAUAACUUCGGGAAACUGGAGGUAAUACCGCAUACGUCCUACGGGAGAAAGCAGGGGAUCGCAAGACCUCGCGCGAUUGGAGGAGCCCAUGUCCGAUUAGCUAGUUGGUGAGGUAAAGGCUCACCAAGGCAACGAUCGGUAACUGGUCUGAGAGGAUGGUCAGUCACACUGGAACUGAGACACGGUCCAGACUCCUACGGGAGGCAGCAGUGGGGAAUAUUGGACAAUGGGGGCAACCCUGAUCCAGCCAUGCCGCGUGUGUGAAGAAGGCCUUCGGGUUGUAAAGCACUUUAAGCAGGGAGGAAGGCUCGUACGUUACUACCGUGCGGGAGUGACGUUACCUGCAGAAUAAGCACCGGCAAACUCCGUGCCAGCAGCCGCAGUAA
rnacentral:rRNA from 1 species